GAAUAUCUGCAUAAGCUGACCGCUUUGACUUUUAGGAAGUUUAUCGCAAGAUGUCGGGGGAUGUUUUGCGCGACGAGCCGCUGAUAUGCUCUUGGGCGAAAUGACUUGCUUGUCGUGGCGAAUGCCUGUAAAAUUCCGGCCUAAGUUAAAUCACAUAGUGUUGUAAUCUUGCCGGUGGAAUCAUUUAACAUCUCAAGUGUGUGUUGCCAGCGGUGCAAAAUCCGAGCACGGAAAUUAUUCGUGGAAACUGUAUCAGUGCAUGUACCACUACCAGAACCACGAAGCGAAAUAAUAAAUAUCGUUUUAACAAAGAAAUAAAACUAUUGAGAUUAUAAUUGAAAGAUUCUGAAGGAAUACGUGAUUUUAAUAAUAAUUGAAAUGGGUGUCAGGGCAAGUACUGUAGCACAAUCUGCAGGAGGCAACAGUCAGUCAUCUACUGGGACCAAUGACACUACGAUGCAAGGCUUUUCUGUGCUUCGUUCCUUGCCUGGAGGUGUUGGCGUGUUGCAGCAUCAACAUCAACAAGGAAGUCAGUCGCAGACUUCUCGAGUAUCAGGAGAUAAUAGACAACGUGCACGUUCUCUCAGUUCUGUACCGGAUCUUUCUUCAGGAGAACAAGGUGCUCUUGCUUCAACUGUCGGUGUUGGAGUAGCCCAAGCUCUUGGAUUGCCACAACUUGAUUCAGACGAUGCAGAUGAAGAUAGUGGUAGAGUAUAUGCCGCUCACAGCUUGCCUUCUCACAUCUGGUCCCUUAACGGUCUAAAGUGUCCUGUAUGCUCUAAGUUUAUCCUACCGGAUGAUAUUGAGUGUCACCUGGUAAUGUGCCUGACCAAGCCACGUCUCAGUUAUAAUGAGGACGUAUUAGCAGAUGAAAAAGGGGAAUGUGUAAUUUGUCUCGAAGAAUUACAGCCUGGUGAUGUUAUUGCCCGCUUGCCCUGUUUGUGUAUAUAUCAUAAAAAUUGCAUUGAUAAAUGGUUUCAAGUGAAUCGUAGCUGCCCUGAACAUCCUGGAGAUUGAUUUGCGCUUUGAAGAUUACAGUGGAUAAAGAGUUUGGCCCAGAGGACACUUAUGUCAAUGGGAAUAGGAAUGGAGAUAAAGAAAGAAAUUUGAAAAAAGCUAGUCAAGGUGACUGCUAGUCCGCAAUGGUGGUUGGUGCAUGCGGUGGUUGUUCAACAGAACAAGAUACACUAAAAUUUAAAUUGAAAACGGACGUUUGAUUAAAUUCUCGACUCUAUUAUUACUAAGGAGAGGACUUAAAAACAAAUCGCCAUAAGUUUCAACGAUACAAUGCUAUUAACUAUACGUAUCUAUAAUUAAUCUAUUAUUGCUCUAUCGCUUAUUAUCAAUUGUACCAUAUUUAUAAAUUUUACUUAGUUUUACAACUUGAAGUCGAUUUAGCAUUAAGCAAAACAAUUUUUAUCAUUACUGAUGAUUAUUUUUUCUUUGGAAAGGGGAGAUACAGGACAAAUCGUAGUCAAAGGACCUGCCCCAUGCAGGUGAGCUCUACCUUAGAUAAUUUAGUUGUAUUUUUAAUGAUUUUACUAUCACGACAAUGUAUCGUUUCUGUUAUCUGUUGGGAGAUGAGUGCUAGAAAGGAUAUUUUUGAUACUUUCAUAAAAGGGGAGCCAGGAUGUAUAAGAAUUUCAAGCAGAGGACUUGUCGCAAUAUUGUUGAUGCUGUAGUAAAAAUAAAGUAAUAUACAAAAACUCACGUAUACAUAUUGGGAUCGGACAUGUAUUGCAUAAAGUAAUAACUGUAAUAAAACGAUAACAAUUUGAAAAUACGUAGAGAAAAGUAGUAAAAAUAAAAUGCAAUGUGGAUAUGUAUUAUAUUAA